UCUUCAUGCAGCUCCUCCAGCUCCGCCUGCGUGAGCGGGACAAGUGCUCCUCCUCAGGCGGGGCCGAUCCAAGACGGAGCGGUGCUGCUGCUUCUGCUUCCCCGAGGGGUCGCCAGAGCCAGGCUCGGGUCUCGGCCUCCCUUGGGGCCCUGGUCCUGGCCCUCACCCCCGGCCCGCGCGGAGCAGGACAGUUGGGGGCUCAUGCUCGGGGCUCCCGGGAGGCCCCUCCGCCCCCUCCUCGCCGUCCCGCCCAGGGUGAACACACCCGGCUCCAGCCCCUUCUCCACCAUGGUGGGGCUGCCCUCCUCCCAGGAGGGCCUCCGGGCUUGGGCCGGCCGGGGCUGCCUGGCGCCCGCCCUCGGCAAAGCUGACCUUCUUCAGCCGGAGCCCGCAGUCCAGGAGGCUGCCGCCCCGCUGUCCUCCUCCUCGUCCUCCUCGUCCCUCCCCGUCCUCCCGGCCCGCAUCCCCUUCAUCCCGCUCCCUCGGCGCCCCCAGGCCCCUCCCUGAGCUCCCCGCCUUCCCCGGGGGCCUGCUCCCCACGGCCGUCUCCUCCUCCUCCUCGGGCGCCCCGCAGCCCCCACCGAGACACCUUCGGCCCCCUGCCCUGCUGCCAGCCUCGCCAGCCUGGGGUUCGGGGUGGCAGGGAGUGGGCGCCAGAGGCUCAGGCCACCAAGCAGGGCAUGCGCCAGCCCUGCCAGGGCCCGCAGGCCGAGCUCGGCCACGGCACAGGCGCCCGCAGAGGUGGGGCUGCAGGACCUCGCGCACGUUCUGCAGGAACUGGUGGGUGAUCAGCAGGGUGGCCAGCAUCUGGGGGACGGGGAGAGGUUGCGGGGGGGCAGGGGGCCGGGACCAACGCGGGCACCCACCCUGGAUGUCCCUGGACACCAGGGCUCAGCGCUCAGCCACCGUCACUGCUACGGAGCACACACAGCCUGGCUCGAGCAGGGCCCAGGAACCUCCACCCAGGGUCUCGUGGGUACCUGCACUGGUCCUCGCCACCCCAGCCCCGCUGCACAUGCACCCCAGCACAGCCGCCGCCCGCCUGGCCAGGCCUGAGGCCUUGCCACCUGCCCAUACUUUGGCCCGGGCUGAGAGCAGGAGGCCCCGGAGGGAGAGUAGGAGCAGGCGGAACCGCAGGGCCACGAGCGGACCAGUACUGCCCGCAGCUGCCGCUCGAGGCUCUGGGACAGGGACAGGACGAGCAGGAGCUGUGGAGGGACCGACGGACAGAUGGACAGACAGAUGGACAGGCAGAGAGAGGACGCAUGGAUGGACGGACACACGGACGGAUGGACAGAGAGGGAGAGAAGGAUGGGGGGAGAGGCUGGGCAGGGAGCCCUGGAACCCCUGGGCCAGGCCCGGCCCCCAGCUGGCUGCCCCUGAGCCGGGGCCUCACCUCUCCUUGAGACGCUCCAUGUCCUUGAGGUAGAAGCCGAUGUAGAAGAGGCUCAGGUACGAAUUGACAAACUGGAACUAUGGGCAGGGAAGGGGCGGGUGUGGUCAUCCCCAGUCCCAGCAGGUCCCUCGGCCCCUUUGCCUGCGGCAGCCACUCACCAGGACGACCUUGAUGAUGAGAUGCUUCUCGUAGGCACUCUCUAGCCGGUAAUUCUCUAGGAGCCGAUGAGGGCCAUGAGGGCCGGCUAGGUCUCCCAGGGCAGUAGGGACUCCCGGGGCUGUGAGGACCCCCCACCCACAGAGCAUACCCAUGUCAUUGAGCCAGAUGGCCAGCUUCUUGUAGCCCUCAGCACUCACGCUGACCAGCAGGGCCAGGACUACCUUGGGCAGGAAGCGGGCGAGGCGUGGCAGCCCCUUCACACUCAGCACCAGCUCCUGUGGGCAGGCAGGGUUGAGGCCUCAGUGCACGGGCAGGCUGGGGCCGGGCCCCGAGGCCAGGGCUGGGACACAGGGGUCACCUGCAGCUGGAAGCAGCCGAGCAUGAGCAGGAAGACGCAGGCAAGGCAGGCGAGGCACAGGGGCAGGCUCACUAGCAGCUGGAAGAGCAGCCGCUUCCAGGGCGGGGUAAUAGAACUCCUCCGCACGGGUCACCGGGGCUGAUGCGCCGCCCCACACCCUGGCAGAGCGGAGCCAAGAGAGACCAGAGCGGUCAGCCCCGCUCUAGGUCCCCUUCCAGCUCUCCUAACUCAAUUUCCUCCAGGACCCCUCACCUGGAGCCUUCUUUACCCUUGGAGCCCCUGCCCGGCUGCCCCCACCCCCUGCACCCUCUCCCUUCCCCUGCUUCUCCACAGUCCCCCGGCUGACCCUGAACUGGGGACGUGGCUCCUCCACAGCUUCCCCAGGUGAGUCUAGCGUCCCCCACUUGUACGCCAGCUCUGCACCCCUCCGUUUCCACUCUUCCAAGAACAGUGUUGACCAGAUCACGUUGAAGAGAGCGAAGACCACGCAGGACACAUCUCGGCUUGUCUGUGGGUGCCAGAGCAGCGCGCAGCUGUCAGGCCAGGGGCACGAGGAGGGUGCCCGCCUGCCCAGCUGCACCUGCUACCUGGUCUGCCUCUGUGAACGUGUACAGCACAGGGAACCAAGACUGGCUGGGUACACCAUCGCUGAUGUGUAGAAGCCCAGCCAGGCAAAAUACAUGGCAAUCUUCACGCCAAAGUAGUCACAGAUGUCGUC
rnacentral:lncRNA from 1 species